rnacentral:ribozyme from 1 species
CAAAACGCCGACCCACGGAGAAUUUAGAAACAUAAUGGAGUCCCUUGCAAUGACCGGCGAAUGCAUCGCCGACCUCAUUCCCGAGUACGGCGUCGUCCACCUGCAGAAUGCGCUGAGUGAAGACGAGCAGAAGGCUCUCUGGACCAGAACCAAACCGAAAGUC